rnacentral:ncRNA from 26 species
ACCUGGUUGAUCCUGCCAGUAG